AAUCAUCCGCAAUGGGCGAAAGCCUGACGGUGCGACGCCGCUUGAACGAUGAAGGUCUUCGGAUUGUAAAGAUCUGUUGUGAGGGAAGAACAAGUACCGUAGUCACUGCCGGUACCUUGACGGUACCUGACGAGAAAGCCACCGCUAACUCCGUCGCAGCAGCCGCGGUAAGCCGUAGGUGGCAAGCGUUGUCCGGAUUUAUUGGGGGUAAAGCGCGCGCAGGCGGUCUUUUAAGUCGGAUGUGAAAUCUUGCGGCUCAACCCCAAGCGGUCAUUGGAAAAUGGAGAACUUGAGGACAGAAGAGGAGAGUGGAAUUCCACGUGUAGCGGUGAAAUGCGUAGAGAUGUGGAGGAACACCAGUGGCGAAGGCGACUCUCUGGUCUGUAACUGACGCUGAGGAGCGAAAGCGUGGGUAGCGAACA
rnacentral:rRNA from 1 species